rnacentral:rRNA from 1 species
UACGAAGGGGGCUAGCGUUGUUCGGAAUUACUGGGCGUAAAGGGCGCGUAGGCGGUCGAUCAAGUCAGGGGUGAAAUCCUGCAGCUUAACUGUAGAAGUGCCUUUGAUACUGGUCGUCUCGAGGGAGGUAGGGGUGUGUGGAACUUCCAGUGGAGCGGUGAAAUGCGUUGAUAUUGGAAGGAACGCCGGAGGCGAAAGCGACGCACUGGACCUCUUCUGACGCUGAGGCGCGAAAGCUAGGGGAGCAAACGGG